UCUAAUAUGGCAGAUAAGUGCAAUGGAUUUAAGCCCCAUAUAUGAAGUGGUACAAACUUUUGUUAGAA
rnacentral:tRNA from 1 species